UACGGAGGGUGCGAGCGUUGUCCGGAAUCACUGGGCGUAAAGCGCACGUAGGCGGCUUUCUAAGUCGGGGGUGAAAUCCUGGAGCUCAACUCCAGAACUGCCCUUCGAUACUGGAGAGCUUGAGUCCGGGAGAGGUGAGUGGAACUGCGAGUGUAGAGGUGAAAUUCGUAGAUAUUCGCAAGAACACCAGUGGCGAAGGCGGCUCACUGGCCCGGUACUGACGCUGAGGUGCGAAAGCGUGGGGAGCAAACAGG
rnacentral:rRNA from 1 species